rnacentral:rRNA from 1 species
UACGAGGACGAACGCUGGCGGCACGCUUAACACAUGCAAGUCGAACGGAGUAAAUUGGAGCUUGCUUGAUUAACUAGUGGCGGACGGGUGAGUAACACGUGAGCAACCUGCCUUUGAGAGUGGAAUAGCUUCUGGAAACGGAUGGUAAUACCGCAUGAAAUUAUCUGACCGCAUGAUCGGAUAAUCAAAGAUUUAUCGCUCAAAGAUGGGCUCGCGUCUGAUUAGAUAGUUGGUGGGGUAACGGCCUACCAAGUCGACGAUCAGUAGCCGGACUGAGAGGUUGAACGGCCACAUUGGGACUGAGACACGGCCCAGACUCCUACGGGAGGCAGCAGUGGGGAAUAUUGCACAAUGGGCGGAAGCCUGAUGCCAGCGAUGCCGCGUGGAGGAAGAAGGUUUUCGGAUUGUAAACUCCUGAUCUGAGGGACGAUAAUGACGGUACCUCAGGAGAAAGCUCCGGCUAACUACGUGCCAGCCGCUGC